UUUGAGAAAUAAUGAAGUUAUUAUAUAUGAGGGGUGCUACUGGGGUAAUACUCUGUACAUUGUUUGCCAUGUUUGUUUCCAACAUUUAUUUCCUCCUUUGAGAAUGGGAAUGUGUGUAUGUGAAUGUGACUGUGUGUGUAUAUAUGUGCAUGUGUGUGUUUCAAUACCCUGAAGCUAUCAUUGGUUAUAUUCCAACACUGUCUUAACUUUCCUUCCUUUUCUAUACAAUUGACAAGGAGUUAAUAUAUUGAACCAAAUGAUAUUAUCAUUUUGAAGUAUUUGCCCAAGGCCAUGAGCAUUAUAUUCUCCAUUUCAACAAUGACUUAGGAGAAGGCAGCUCUGAAAAUGUAGGGUCAAAGCAGGACAAAACUCAACUCAGAACAAUGACUGAAGACUAGUUUUAUUUGAUUGAUGAGCUGGAGUAUUGGUUAAGAUUAUCUAACAUUUUUUACACCCCUAACCCAUGGUAUAAAACAUGUUUAUGUCAAUCCUAAUCACAGUUCCCAACUAUUAGGUUAUUUAACAAUAACACUGCAGACAUUUAAAUCAUGAUUUAUUCAAAGAUGCCUUUUGCACAUAAAGUUUAUUUUGUUAGUUUGGUUAGCUCUGCAUUGUUUUAAAGAUAAUUCUCUUGCAAAGGAUAAUUCAUUGAAAAGUAUUUUGCUAAGACUCCAGAAAAAAAAUGGAUCACAGGCAAGUUCCCAGAAGAAGCAUAUUAAUAAAGUGUUGGAAAACCUCUGAAGGAUUAUAUUCUCUAGAGAUGACCAUCUAUUGGACAUAUUAGCCUUUAAAGUCAUUUUAUUUUUAAGUUUAAAGAUCUAUGUGAAAUACUGUUUUGAAUCCUGGAAUUCAAAUACAACCUUUCAUAUUGUUAAUCUUUCUUGAAGUUUAAAGAGAUGGGAAUAAAGAAAAAAUUAUUUCAUCUUAAAUUUAGCUCCGUGUAUACUUUUUUCUUUUUAACUCACCUAGCUUUUAUGAACACUGCCUAUGGACUAGGAAGUAUAGAGAAUACAAAACAACUGACAUAAUCCCUAAAUAUAGGAGUCUUUUGUAUAUAUGAAGUGGCUGCAUAUGCAUAAUACCCUGUUUAGGAAAAUGCUGCAGGGUCAGCUGUAUUUUAAAUAAUCAAUGGCUUAUUUUAAGUCACUAAUCUUAAAUCGAGAAUGUUAAUUCCAUUAAAGCAGAAAUCAUGUUUACUUUGUUUAUUUCUAUAUACAAAGCAUCUUCGAUAUUUCCUUACGCAUUGUGGGCAUUUAAUAAAUAUUUUUGGAAUGGACAAACAAGAGGCCAAAGAGGAAGUUUUAAGCUUUAAGGAGAUUCCAGAUGUUCUGAGAAGGAGGAUUGAAAUUUAAAAUGGAACACUUGCUAAAAGCAACCAGAAAAAAUUUGAAAAUUAAUAGUUAUUUUGAAGAAUGGAUAGAACUUGGACAAAAUAAAAGGGAGUGGGAUGUGUAUAGGUGUAUAUGAAUGUGAGUAUAUGUGUGCUGACACAUGUAUGUAGAAACAACCUGAGAACAUUAAAGUGGCAGGGUGGAUGUGUGGCAAAUAGAGAACAUAAUAAGCAUGCAUCACUGCAACACCCUUUUGGGAGUUAAAAAAGAAAUAAAGCUGAGUAGGUUGAGUGAAACCAACCUCUUGGAAAGCCUUGAUCUUCUCUUUUAGAAGUUUAUAGAUAAAUAAAUACAUUUAUUUAUAUAUGAACUGUGUAUGUGUGUGUGUGUGUGUACAAUUUCUUUUUAUCUUUUUAUCAUCAAGUAGUUUCUAAGAUAGACUUGAGGGGAGCAAUUCCUAAACAAAUUAACGAGUUUGUGGGGCUUUUGCAGUCAUGUAAGAUGCAUCUAUUAAAAACUGAACCAGGUAAUGCAGAAGUAGUGGGGAGAAAAGGAGGAAUGAAUCAACAUAGUUUAACCAGAAGGAUAUGAAGUAAAAGGGAGAGAAAGAAGCAAAAUAUUCCUGCAAGUUUACAUGUUGGGUGAUGAGGAAAUGAUGGCUUCAUUCUUCCUUUUGUCAAUAUCAUUUCUCAAAUUGUCUUUCCCUUCUCCUUGGAUGAUUUGGUCAGUGUUUCCUCCUUGACUUUCUCUUGCUUUUUCUAAAGGCUUAGUUCACAAGUCUCCUUCUGUUUCCUGUCUGGAUUUAGUGUCCCUCUUACACAAUUUCUUGGUUUCCUUUGCAGGCCAAUGUCAUAACACUCAUCACACUACAUCACAUUAUUUGUUCACACCUGUUUCUUUUACUACAUUGGAUUCCUUGAGUAGAAAGCACAGAAAUGUCUAGUUCUUAGCACGACGUUUGGCAUGUGGUUGAUUUAAGUUGAUAACCAUAGAAAGUUUAAUGAAUGAGUUUCUUCUUUUCUUUGCAAUAAUUAAUAGUCUAAGACCUGGAUAUUUACUACUUGGAAAGUUAGUUCUAGAGUGCUCUACAAUGGUGGAAUAGCUUUCUUCUCUUUUUUAUAU
rnacentral:lncRNA from 1 species